UACGGGGGGGGCAAGCGUUGUUCGGAAUUACUGGGCGUAAAGGGCGCGUAGGCGGGCCGCCAAGUUCGAGGUGAAAUCCUCCGGCUCAACCGGAGAACUGCCUCGAAUACUGGAGGCCUCGAGGCGGGUAGGGGCGUGCGGAACUGUGGGUGGAGCGGUGAAAUGCGUUGAUAUCCACAGGAACACCGGUGGCGAAGGCGGCAUCCUGGACCGAUAUUGACGCUGAGGCGCGAAAGCCAGGGGAGCAAACGGG
rnacentral:rRNA from 1 species